rnacentral:lncRNA from 1 species
CGACUUUCAUCUCUCUCUUUAUCUCUGGUUCUCUGUAGACCCUUAACCUUUCCCCUCCACUCAGAUGAACUUCACUUGCCUUCUUCGGCCACCUCCUUGCCUGAAUCCAUGGUGGUCUCACUGCCUACCGACCUUCUAUGGCUCCUACACGUUUAGUUACUAAUUUUCAAGGCCUGACCAUGAAGAAGCUUGGGCAAGACCUUGUUUGAUUCAAGUUCUACAGAUAUCUCUAGCCUUGCUCUGGCAAGCCAUGGCUGUUUGAGCCUGACCUCGACUCUUACUGCUUAUAUCAAUGACUAUCCAAGCCUUUCUCACCAUAUGGAUUCCUCUGAAACCCUAGCUUUUGAGGUUCUUUUUAUUUCUUUAGAUCUGUUCUAGAACCGUGUUUCCCUAAGCUUUUAAAUGAUUUCUUGAGAUUUAUUUCAAAAAGAAAUGCUUUCAAAACCUUUAUUCUCUUUCGAUUUAAGUUUUUUGAGUUAUUUAGAUGUUUCUCUGAUUUUCUUUUCUCUUGUUUUUUUCUUUUACUAUGUUUCUUCUACUGUGUUUCUUUUUGUGUUUCUUCUGCCGUGUUUCUUUAUAUGGUUCUUCUACUGUGUUUCUUUAUACGUUUCUUCUAUUGUGUUCAUACUUGUUCUUCUACUGAGUUUCCUAUAUGUGUAUUCUAAUAUGUUCAUAUGAGUUCUUCUACUGUGUUUUACAUGUUGUUCUUUCACUAUGUUUCUCAUGAGUUUUGCUACUGAGAGAGCAUGUUAAAGGUCUUAGUUCCUUUCUGAGACCUCUGAACUCGUUUCAUUAGUAUCUUUUUCCUUGAUUACUUGUCCUUUCAUAUCUGCAUUCGAUUGAUGGCAAGAACCCUAGUUUGGGGAAUCAUUCAAGUUUUAAGACCAUUGGCUGUGUGAUUUAUUUGAUCAUUACCUCUGAACUUGUUUGAUUUCAAAAGAAAUAACCUAACCUCUUUGAACCUAUUUCGAGUUUCUGAAAUCUACUACUUGAUUAGGUUUUAAAAGCUUUGUUUUGACCAUUGUUUCUUUACAUGGUUCAGAUUCCCUGCUAAAAUUUUCUAGGGUCCUUAUACUGGAUCUUUUGUGUGCCAUUUGAUACAAUCACUCUUCCACAUUGCUGAGUUACCGAGACCGACCUAUGUGACUAUCAUGUUCCUAUAGUCUACUACUUACUGAUUUUGCAAUCGUAUGACAUUUUUAUAUGUGAUGAACCUCCCUUUAAAAUGUCUUUCAAUUUUUGAUUAAUUUGGGGCUUCCAUCCUAAAGCCUAAUUGAUUUCUUUCCUUAUUUGCUAAUUUCCCUGUUACUUGGUUUGAGUCGAAAACUUUCCUUAGCUUUUCUGACUUGGUUCAUUCAUGGACCAGUAAUUACAAAUCUCUGACUUCUUGUUUUACUAUUUACUAAAUAAUUUUUUACCUUAUUUAUGUAAUCGUGUAUUUCAAAAUUCUUCCCUUAUGUAAAUUCCUAUGUAUCUACCCCUGAUUUCCUACUUUGCACAAGAUUCUUGAGUCCUUUCCUUAAAUAAAUUGGUUCAUUAUCGUUUAAGUUUGAACUCCUUAAUUAAAGGAGGUCUUGUACUAAUUGAUUUUAAUUGAUACCCAGUUCCAUAAUUAUUUUCUUACCUUCUUUCCGCCUGUUUUCACAAUAUAAAUACCUAAAUCUUUUAUUGACAAAACAUACCUCUAACUCUUUGAUUUACUAUGUACUAAUAGAUUUUUACCUUAUUUUGUUUUAACCGUGUAUUUCAAAAGUCUUCCCCUAAAUAAAUUCCUAUGUAUUUUUCCCUAAUUGCCUACUUUGCACAAGAUGCUUGUUUGAUUGCUUUCCUUAGUUAAAUAAGUCUUAUGUUGAUUAAUUUUAAUUGAUACCCAGUUCCAUAAUUAUUUUUCUUACCUUUUUGUCCACCUAUUUUCAAAAUAUAAGUACCUGGCUCUUCCACUGAAAAAACAUAAGAACACUUUUAGUUUUUCUACACACCAACACUCAUCGUCUUCUGAACUUAUACUGAUACUAAAAAGAAUUUUCUCUUGUUACUUAUACUGUGGCCUGUUUACAAGUCUUGUUGCCUGCUUUUCUCUAUUUGCUUUUUUUAAACCGGUAUGUCCUAAAUUAUGGUUUUCAGCACCAUAACAAUGUGUUUGUUUACUACAUUUGUAGGCAUGUCUACUUACUACUUCUGUAUAGUUCAAAACUUACACUAGCAUGCUGAAGUUUCUUUUGCCUAUUUAACUAUGAAUCAAAAACCCCUACCCCUUAUGUGUUGAUGCUAUGGUUUGAGGCAAUGCAAUACGACAAAUUAUUGUCCAUGAAUCAAACUUGAUGCCAUGGGAUCCUAGCCUUUAAUAGUAUGUGUUCUGGUCGGCUUAUAGGUAUGCUAGCACUCUCCAUUGCUAGGCAUGCCUAAAGUUUGGCCAUGCCUAAGCAAUAUGCUCUUUACAAUCUGCCUACUCCCCUGAACCCCUUAUGUUUGCUUAUUUGUAGCUGUUUCCCUCUCCUUUUCUCUUUAGCAUUAUGUUCAUUACUUGCACACUUUCUUAGUCUUUAGGUUCUUCUCCCCUCUUGUGGGCCUUUUCUUGGGACCUCUUUGAACUCCCUGUGAACUUGGACACUUGAGGGCUGUAUUGUACAUUUGGGUGUGAGUAUUGCCCGGAGUCCCAUUGAGUCUCUUAGGGAACUUUGACACAGUCAAAUGGGAGAAAAGCUUUGGAUCAUGAUCUCUUGGAGUUGGUUUACCUCAUAUUUCAAAUAUGAAGUCUGAAUCAGUCUCUCCUAGGUUGUACUUUUAUUUAUAAUAUUCCUUCUGAUGUAUUUUACUUUAUUUUGGGAUGUAAUAAUUUAUAAUAAAACUCUGGGGAUGGUUAGUGAAAAAGGGUGGGUAACUAUGUAUGCAAAGGGUAAAUACCAUGUCUAUUGGUAUUUCUAAAUUCUGCAUAUGCAAUUCUCAUAUAGAAAUCAUGCCUAUAUGCAUUUUUAAAUUAUUCAUGCAUAUAGAAAUCAUGCCUAUAAGUCCUUCAGAAUUCUGUACAUCCAUUUUCAUAUAGAAAUCAUGAGCAUAGGUAUUAAUAUAUUCAAAUAGAAAUCAUGCCUACAGGAUUGUCCGAAUCUGCACAUCCAAUUACACCUAGAAACCAUGCACAUAGG